AUGUACGAUAAGUAACCCUUCGACCUUCUUAUGUUUGAUCUGAACAUAUUCGCCACUAAACACCCACGUUUUAUACUGGAAGAUGGCUAAAGCGAUCGUUCGCUUCUCAUUGGUUGCGUCGUGUCAUGUGGUAUUUAGAAUGGUAAUGAGACGAAUUAUUGUGUCUUUGUUUCAUCUUGACGUAACGCUAUUUGAGAAGAAUAAAAGAUAAGCAUUUCAGAAGAAUCUUGAUUUGGUUCAUCGACCCAACAGUUCAUCAUCAAUUCCAUUCGGAGUUAGAACAAGCAAUGAAUGACGAACAUUCAUAAGCUCGUCACGAUGUAUAGAUCUAAUUCAUACAAGAAGUUAAUUGAAAGACGUUAAUACAAGAAUAUGUUAUUUUUGUGAUGUAAUAAAUCCCUGAUAACAUGUAAUAAACAAAUUUGAGAAAUAAAGAUAAU